rnacentral:rRNA from 1 species
CACCGCCGCGGUAAUACGUAGGUGGCAAGCGUUGUCCGGAAUUAUUGGGCGUAAAGCGCGCGCAGGCGGAUCAGUCAGUCUGUCUUAAAAGUUCGGGGCUCAACCCCGUGAUGGGAUGGAAACUGCUGAUCUAGAGUAUCGGAGAGGAAAGUGGAAUUCCUGGUGUAGCGGUGAAAUGCGUAGAUAUUAGGAAGAACACCAGUGGCGAAGGCGACUUUCUGGACGAAAACUGACGCUGAGGCGCGAAAGCCAGGGGAGCGAACGGGAUUAGAUACCCCUGUAGUCCCUGUCUCUUAUACAC